GGUGUGCGGGGCCGGGGGAGAGAGGGGGAAAGCCCUCGGGGGUGGGGAUGAGGGGGCGAGGCUGUGGCUGCGCGUCCCCGCCCGCCCCCUCGGUGCUGCCGGAGCCCCGUCCCGAGGCGGGGAUGAGCCGAGCCCGCUGCGAGGGUGGAGCCGGGCUCCGCUCCAGGGAACAGGGACAGGAGCAGAGGGAACGGCCUCAGGCUGGGCCAGGGCAGGCUCAGCUGGGCCAGCAGCAGGAAUUUACCCAUGGAAAGGGUGCUCAGGCCUUGGCAGGGGCUGCCCAGGGAGCUUGGCAGUGCCCAUCCCUGCAGGUGUCCCCUGCAGGUGGCACUGAGUGCUCUGGGCUGGGGACAAGGUGCCCGUGGGGCACAGCUGGCACUCUGUGGUGCCCAAACCUCGGUGAUUCCAUGAUUGUGGGGCUUUCAAUACCUACAGCUCUUUUAGCUUCAUUCCUUUUGUUCCUGAACUUGUUGCCCAGGGUGAAGCUGUGCGUGAAACAGAAAUGAAAUGAACUAAAAUAUCCCUGGACCGCCCUAGCCUGAGCUUUGUGCUUAAGGUUUUGUUUGGUGCACCCAAUGUUCUGGUUUUUAUUUUUUGGUUUUUUUUGUCAUUGGUUUUGCUGUUAAACCCUUUCGUACUGAAGGAGGUGCUUAGUUUUUAAACAAAUUUGAAUUAAACAGAAUGGACUAGAAAGAUUAAGCAAUAAUAACAAAUGAAUUUGAGUUUCAUCAUCUCCUCAUAGCUGUGUUGUCUUCACCAUGGAUGACAACAUGUACAGAGCCUGCAUAAAUUACAUUUCUAUGGUAAAAAAAUGGGAGAACUGCCUUGAACUUGAAUAAAUAUCUGUGUUCAGGAGGGAAGAAAAGUCUGAAUUUUAUAAAUAAUACAAGACUUUAAAAUAAAAUGCAGGUGGUGCCCUUGGAAGGUAGGUGCACACAGACUUUUAAUAGGUGAAAAAUCAGUUUAGCUGUAUGGUCACUGAAUUUCAGCACUGAAAUGCAUAAUUUAGCUUCAUUUAAUAAAGUAACAGAGCUGGCAAGAGCUGGUAACUCUUUAAAGCUGGAAAUAAAUGACAUUUUUAGGAGCACACAUGGACUGGCCACGUUUUUAAUUUGUUUUUUGGCCAAAUGUCAGGAAGGUGCAGAGAGAGGAAGUGGAACGAGGCCCUAAGGCUGUAUCCCAGAUUUUGGAGGUGUGAAAGGUGCCCUCAGCACUUGGAUGAUUGAAGAAAAACAAAGUUCUGUUAAAAAUGAGGAAAAUACUGCAUUGUUCCGUGGUGUAUCCAGUUUUCCAGAGCAUUUGGUGUUCUGGUGUCCAAGGGAAUGCAGGAAUUUUGUCACUCAGGUGUGUGAGGUGACGUGGGCACACUGAAAUGUCACUGUCUGAGAAAUACUCCAAUGUAAAUUUAAAAGUCUGCCCUUGGUCAGGGAGUGAACUUUAAGAAAAUUCCCUUGGUUUGGUGUAGAAUGUGCCCAGAAAAUUCCAACUUCUGCAGCACAGGGGUGGAAUUUGGUGCUGAUGAAGGGAUCCCCACCCUCAGUGUUUGUAAAUACUCUGAAUUUUGCUGUGUCUGAACACUCUGCUUGUCCCAGCAGAUGUAACACUCCUAAAAUACCUUUUCUCUCCAGUUAAAUGGGAUUUUUUUUUCCCCUCAGUAAUCCUGGAUUGCCCUAUUUGAGGAGGGUUGAUCCAAUCAAAGAGAAACUGAAAGCAGGCAGUUCUGUCAUGGGAACAGCUUUUCUCUGGGAAAACUUCAGUGGAAAAGUGAAUUAUUCCAGAAAUUCAUCUUGCUGGAAGUGCACUCAGACAUGGAGCUGGGUCUGUGUCCUCACAUAACCCCCAGGCCUGGCUGGAAACACUCUGCAAUUAUCUAUUAAAAAUCAAUUAAAUCUGUUUGUGCUUGAAGAUAAAGGCCAGGAUCCAGUGCUCCAAUCCUGAGCUCAGAGUCUGGAAGGAAGAUCCCACACGAGGUCAGAGCUGGGCCAGGAUUAAUAACUUUGUUUUCUUGGAGAAAAGGGAAAUUUAGGAAAACGUUGGUGAAAUCCCUUGGGAAGGCUGACCUAGAACAGAGGCUGGACAGAUUUGGAGAAUAAAGUAGGGAUUUAUUAAAAGAAUAAAGACUAAAUAAAUAAUCAUUUGGUAAUAAAUUAUUGUGAUGUUAUUGAAUGCAUUAUAUAUUAUAAUGUAAU